GUGGGGAAUCUUGCGCAAUGGGCGAAAGCCUGACGCAGCCAUGCCGCGUGAAUGAUGAAGGUCUUAGGAUUGUAAAAUUCUUUCACCGGGGACGAUAAUGACGGUACCCGGAGAAGAAGCUCCGGCUAACUUCGUGCCAGCAGCCGCGGUAAUACGAAGGGGGCUAGCGUUGCUCGGAAUUACUGGGCGUAAAGGGCGCGUAGGCGGACAGCUUAGUCAGAGGUGAAAGCCCAGGGCUCAACCUUGGAAUUGCCUUUGAUACUGGCUGUCUUGAGUUUGGGAGAGGUGAGUGGAACUCCGAGUGUAGAGGUGAAAUUCGUAGAUAUUCGGAAGAACACCAGUGGCGAAGGCGACUCACUGGCCCAAUACUGACGCUGAGGCGCGAAAGCGUGGGGAGCAAACAGGAUUAGAAACCCUUGUAGUCC
rnacentral:rRNA from 1 species